CUUCAAUAAAAAUAAGGGAAAAAGUUUGAUCCCUUCUGAGACCUGUGAAGAAAAAUCUGCUGGGUGCCUCUCCUCUCUUCUGGUGCUUUGCCAGCUCUGGUUGAUGUUCUUUGGCUUGCAGAAGUAUCAGCUCAAUCUCUGCCUUCAUCUUCACAUGACUUUCUCACUGUGUGCAUGUUUAUCUCCAAAUUAUCCCCUUUUAUAGGAACACUUGUCACAUGGGUAAGGGGCCCACCCUUCUGAAAUAACAUCUGCAAUGACACUGUUUCCAAAUAAGGUAGGGCUUCCCAGGUGGCUCGAGUUAUAAAGAAUCCGCUUGUCAUUUCAGGAGACAAAUGCAGGAAACACGGGUUUCGAUUCCUGGGUCAGGAAGAUACCCUAGAGAAGAAAAUGGCAACCCACUCCAGUAUUCUUGCCUGGAAAAUCCCAUGGACAGAAGAACCUGGCAGGCUGCAAAGUUCAUGGGGUCACAGAGUCAGACACAAGAAUGCAGUUGAUUGAUUCAACCUCACUAACAAUAAGAACGGAUGCUGCUUAACUAAAAGAAAAGAAGAUGCUCAGCAGCCCUGUGUCUAACCUGAGCAUUCUGUGCUAUUCUGGACCAGAUUAAGAGAUUUGUUCCACAACCUUCCCCAGAAAGGAUCCCUCCUGAGUAAGUUCCAGUUGGAAAGGCAUCCUUUGUGGACUGUUAACUAUAAACAUCAUGACAUUCCUUGAGCAAUAUCGGUAAACAUCCUCUCAUCCUUUCCACCCUUCUUAUAGCAGCUACUAAAAAAAACCUUUUUUGUAAUUUAACCAUUGCAUGCCCAAUAGCAAGAAGGCAAAAUGGCAUUAAGUCUACAGGACAUGCAAAAGUGCCUUUAUAGUUCCAGGUGAAGAACUGCAGGGAAAAUUUAUCAUUUUAGGUUUCCUGAGAGGGGAGGUGCAUUACCACUUGCCAUCUACCCAGUCAUUUCUUUUCUUUUUAAAAAUUCUUGUAGGGCUUCCCAUGUGGUGCUAGUGGUAAAGAAUCCACCUGCCAAAGCAGGAGAUGCAAGAGACACAGGUUCAAUCCCUUGGUCAGG
ensembl:lncRNA